GAUGAAGAACGUAGCGAAAUGCGAUAAGUAAUGUGAAUUGCAGAAUUCAGUGAAUCAUCGAAUCUUUGAACGCAUCUUGCGCUCCUUGGUAUUCCAUGGGGCAUGCCUGUUCGAGCGUCAUUUGUACCUUCAAGCUUUGCUUGGUGUUGGGUGUUUGUCUCGCCUUUGCGUGUAGACUCGCCUUAAAAUAAUUGGCAGCCGGCGUAUUGAUUUCGGAGCGCAGUACAUCUCGCGCUUUGCACUCAUAACGACAGCGUCCAAAAGUACAUUUUACACUCUUGACCUCGGAUCAGGUAGGGAUACCCGCUGAACUUAAGCAUAUCAAUAAGCGGAGGA
rnacentral:misc_RNA from 1 species